GACGAACGCUGGCGGCGUGGAUUAGGCAUGCAAGUCGAACGGUAUCAUCCUUUCGGGGGUGAGAGAGUGGCGAACUGGUGAGUAACACGUAGGUUAUCUACCCUCAAGACGGGGACAACCCAGGGAAACUUGGGCUAAUACCGGAUGUGAGCAACUUUUUAGUUGUUUGAAAGGUGGCGUAAGCUGUCGCUUGGGGAUGAGCCUGCGUCCUAUUAGUUAGUUGGUGAGGUAACGGCUCACCUAGGCAAUGAUAGGUAGGCGGCCUUAACGGGUGGUCGCCCACACUGGGAUUGAGAUACGGCCCAGACUCCUACGGGAGGCAGCAGUCGAGAAUAGUCUACAAUGGUCGGAAGACUGAUAGUGCGACGCCGCGUGAACGAUGAAUCCCUUCGGGGUUAAAGUUCUUUUAUAUGUGAGCAGUGCUUCUUAUAUUAACAGUAUGGGGAGAGAGAUAUUAGCAUAUGAAUAAGCAACGGCUAACUCCGUGCCAGCAGCCGCGGUAAGCAACG
rnacentral:rRNA from 1 species